rnacentral:rRNA from 1 species
UAAUACGAAGGGGGCUAGCGUUGUUCGGAAUUACUGGGCGUAAAGCGCGCGUAGGCGGUUUUGCAAGCCAGAGGUGAAAUGCCUGAGCUUAACUUAGGAAUUGCCUUUGGGACUGCGAGGCUUUGAGGACGGGAGAGGUGAGUGGAAUUCCCAGUGUAGAGGUGAAAUUCGUAGAUAUUGGGAAGAACACCGGUGGCGAAGGCGGCUCACUGGCCCGUUUCUGACGCUGCAGCGCGAAAGCGUGGGGAUCAAACAGGAUUAGAUACCCUGGUAGUCCACGCUGUAAACGAUGAGUGCUAGGCGUCGGCAGGCUUGCCUGUCGGUGCCGCAGCUAACGCGUGAAGCACUCCGCCUGGGGAGUACGGUCGCAAGAUU